AGUAUCUUUGUCUGGGAGAGCAAAAUGUCCAAUGAACGUAUAGUGAAGACAUUACUGCUAAUACCUGUCCUUCUAACACUAGUGUAUAUGUUUCAUUUCCCGGAAUAUUUGUGGCCAG